rnacentral:rRNA from 1 species
UACGGGGGGGGCAAGCGUUGUUCGGAAUUACUGGGCGUAAAGGGCGCGUAGGCGGUUGGAUAAGUCAGCUGUGAAAACCACGAGCUCAACUUGUGGCCUGCAGUUGAAACUGUCUGGCUAGAGUGUGGGAGAGGGAAGUGGAAUUCCUGGUGUAGCGGUGAAAUGCGUAGAUAUCAGGAGGAACACCGGUGGCGAAGGCGGCUUCCUGGACCACAACUGACGCUGAGGCGCGAAAGCUAGGGGAGCAAACGGG